GGGCCCGCACAAGCGGAGGAACAUGUGGUUUAAUUCGAUGAUACGCGAGGAACCUUACCCGGGCUUGAAAUGCAGAGGAAUAUGGCGGAAACGUUAUAGCCAGCAAUGGUCUCUGUGUAGGUGCUGCAUGGUUGUCGUCAGCUCGUGCCGUGAGGUGUCGGCUUAAGUGCCAUAACGAGCGCAACCCUUAUCAUUAGUUACUAACAGUUUAGCUGAGGACUCUAAUGAGACUGCCGCCGUAAGGUGUGAGGAAGGUGGGGAUGACGUCAAAUCAGCACGGCCCUUACGUCCGGGGCGACACACGUGUUACAAUGGGGGGUACGAGAGGGUUGGCUACCGCGCGAGCGGAUGCUAAUCUCUUAAAGCCCUUCUCAGUUCGGAUCGGAGUCUGCAACUCGACUCCGUGAAGCUGGAUUCGCUAGUAAUCGCGCAUCAGCCAUGGCG
rnacentral:rRNA from 1 species